rnacentral:lncRNA from 1 species
UGCCCCUCUAACCACUAGGCUACCUGCCCCUCUAACCACUAGGCUACCUGCCCCUCUAACCACUAGGCUACCUGCCCCUCUAACCACUAGGCUACCUGCCCCUCUAACCACUAGGCUACCUGCUGCUCUAACCACUAGGCUACCACCCGCCCCAACGCUCUAACCACUAGGCUACCACCCGCCCCAACGCUCUAACCACUAGGCUACCUGCUGCUCUAACCACUAGGCUACCACCCGCCCCAACGCAUAGUCAGAACUACCCGUCUGAUUAUUCCACAUUUAGCUCUGAGUUAUACGGUAAGUAACUACAUGCUGUUCAUGAUCAGUAACAUCAGUUGAUCAUGUAGUUUCAGAUACCUGAGGGUGGCCUAUCCAUUUGGCAUGUAGCUAACUAAGCAAACCUUUCAUUUAGUUGGCUUCAUCAGAGAUGAGGCUUUUGGAAAGACCUUGACAUCAGCAAGUCCUCGUCCUGGUGAAGUGGUCAGUUGGACUUCUGUCAUCACCACUAUAGAUGGCAAGCUAAUCAAGUUCAAGUUUAUCCCCAGGAAGUUAGCUCGUUAACCAGCCCAUAUUGACCCGAUCUGUUAUUAGCUAGCUAGCCAAUUUGACGUGAUCCAUCAAUCAAUGAAGCCCAUCUAUAAUUUCUGUCAGCAGCAAUAGUGACUAAACACUUAAAAAAAACAAUGUUGAGAAGUGGAUAAUGUUAGCUAACUUUGCUAGGUAGGCCUACGUUGGUUGGAGAAAGAAGUACAGUAGGUCUAUUUACCUCUGUUUAGCCUGUAACAAGUUUAUACCGGUAGCUUGUAAAUAUUAUCAGCUAACUACAUUGGUAAAAUGAGCCCUUCUGCUGCUUGACAGGAAGAGCCCACAAAGGACAGGAAAUGAACCUAAACCACUCAUUCUUGUCGGGUAUAGUUUACUUUUAUAUCACUCAAAUAUCCAAUCAAUGGUGGCCAAUAUUGAGAGAGAUCGUCAGGCUACGUAUCUGAAAUGGCCAUGAACAGCAUGCAGUUACUGCUGUAUAACUGAUACAGCAGAAUGUGGAAAUAUCUGACAUUUGUAUUUCUAUGCUCUUCCAGAGGUGACGACACCAAACGCUCUGCACCUUAUUGUGACGUUUUACUGAUAACCUAUUCUAAACAUUCUAGCCAGUCCAAGGGUCGUUCCAUGAAAUGAGUGCCCUAUGAUUAUUUUAAGUAGAAAUAGUGUGCAAAUAUUGAAUUUUAAAAGCCUGUUAUAUUAAAUGAAAUGCCCUUUAAAACCCACUGGGCACAGACGUCCAUUCAAUGUCUAUUCCACAUUAGUAACCCAUACAUGACUUCUCUAUGGAAAGGGGAGACCCUGAAGGUAACCCAUACAUGACUUCUCUAUGGAAAGGGGAGACCCUGAAGGUAACCCAUACAUGACUUCUCUAUGGAAAGGGGAGACCCUGAAGGUAACCCAUACAUGACUUCUCUAUGGAAAGGGGAGACCC